UAUCUACUCCCUCCGUCCAAUAAAGAAUGUUUCAAGUUUGUCCAAAUUUGAAUGUAUCUAGACAUGACUUAAUGUAUAGAUGCAUUUAAAUUUAGUCAAAAUUGAGACAUCUUUUAUUGGACGGAGGGAGUAGAAU
rfam:Brachypodium distachyon strain Bd21 chromosome 3, whole genome shotgun sequence.